GACUCAGCGAUUCUGGCAAGCGGUAC
rnacentral:piRNA from 1 species